UACGAAGGGGGCGAGCGUUGUUCGGAUUUACUGGGCGUAAAGGGCGCGCAGGCGGCUUAUUUUGUCAGGCGUGAAAGCCCCGGGCUUAACCUGGGAACUGCGUUUGAUACGGAUGGGCUAGAGUUCGGGAGAGGAGCGUGGAAUUCCCAGUGUAGAGGUGAAAUUCGUAGAUAUUGGGAAGAACACCGGUGGCGAAGGCGGCGCUCUGGACCGAGACUGACGCUGAGGCGCGAAAGCUAGGGGAGCAAACAGG
rnacentral:rRNA from 1 species